UACGUAGGGGGCUAGCGUUGUCCGGAAUCAUUGGGGCGUAAAGAGCGCGUAGGCGGCCAGAUAAGUCCGGUGUGAAAGUCACAGGCUCAACCUGUGAAUGCCGCUGGGAAACUGUCUGGCUAGAGUCCGGGAGGGGCGAGUGGAAUUCCUGGUGUAGCGGUGAAAUGCGCAGAUAUCAGGAGGAACACCAAUGGCGAAAGGGC
rnacentral:rRNA from 1 species